UAUAAAGUAGCUCAGCAGGAUAGAGCAACGGCCUUCUAAGCCGUCGAUCUGGAGUUCGAAUCUCUACUGGGACG
rnacentral:tRNA from 1 species